rnacentral:rRNA from 1 species
AUUGAACGCUGGCGGCAUGCCUAACACAUGCAAGUCGAACGAGCGGCGGACGGGUGAGUUCUGUCCGGGCAACUGCCUGAGGGAUGGGGACGCCUACUGGAAACGGUAGCCAAUACCGCAUACAACCAGAGGUGCCCGGAUGGGCUUAGCUAGUAGGUGGGGUAAUGGCUCACCUCGGCGACGAUCCCUAGCUGGUCGGAGAGGAUGACCAGCCACACUGGAACUGAGACACGGUCCAGACUCCAACGGGAGGCAGCAGUGGGGAAUAUUGGGCAAUGGGGGAAAGCCUGAUGCAGCCAGGCCGCGUGUAUGAAGAAGGCCUUCGGGUUGUAAAGUACUUUCAGCGGGGAGGCGGUACCCGCAGAAGAAGCACCGGCUAACUACGUGCCAGCAGCCGCGGUAAUAC